rnacentral:tRNA from 1 species
GGGGCUGUGGCUCAGAGGUAGAGCGUUCGCCUGGCACGACGUGUGAGGCACUGGGUUUGAUCCUCAGCCCCA